CUGGCACCCAACCUUGAUGUCCUUCACACCAAAACCGUUUCGCGAAUCCCUAACAACACCAUACACGUGUCCUCUCAGGUCGCAACCCCUGGCUUCCACAGCAACAUAUCUUGGAUCGUCAGCGAUUGGAUCGCUGCAAUUGAAAUACGCUAUCGACGGUUGAAAAAAUGGGUCCAAUUUCAGGGGAUCCCUUCCAGGACCGAUGAGAUCGUUACUAAAAUUGCCGGAGUGCAAGAAAUAGCGAGGCAUGGAGGAGCAGAAAACAGGGCUAGAAGAGUUGUGUUGUUCUCACACUGCAAUUGGUACCUGGCGUCGCCGCAGUGAGAUGGGUCACUGCUGAGUCGAAAGGGGUAACUUAUGUUGGGAAUGUUGCCGCAGGAGGAAGCUUGGCAGUUGGAGCUGAGCGCGGCGGUGCAAGUUUGUAUAAGUAGAAGAAUGAUGACGAUAGAUGUGAGAACCCUUGGCAGUGGUAAUGACAAUAGGGAUGCUGCGGCUUGAUGGUCAUGGACGGGUAUUGGGCUCACUAUGGGGCCCGUAGCUAAAGGAGUUUUAUUAGUUAGAUUUUCUCUUGUUCUGGACAAGAACUUGUGCUACUUUUGAACUAUUGUACUUAUGUUAGGCAGUGUGGUGCCUCUUUUCUUUGUUAUGAAUAAGUUUGGGGUACUGUGUACCUUUAUAUACCAAUUUCCGUACU